UGCCCUAGUAACGGCGAGUGAAGCGGCAACAGCUCAAUUUGAAUCUGGCUCUUUCAGGGUCCGAGUUGUAAUUUGCAGAGGGCGCUUUGGCGUUGGCAGCGGUCCAGUUCUUUGGAUCUGUCAUGUACCUCCUUUCGGGGAGGCCUUAUAGGGGAGACGACAUGCAACCAGCCUGGACUGAGGUCCGCGCAUCUGCUAGGAUGCUGGCGUAAUGGCUGUAAGCGGCCCGUCUUGAAACACGGACCAAGGAGUCUAACAUCUAUGCGAGUGUUUGGGUGUCAAGCCCAGACGCGUAAUGAAAGUGAACGGAGGUGGGAACCUUUUAGGUGCACCAUCGACCGAUCCUGAUGUCUUCGGAAGGAUUUGAGUAAGAG
rnacentral:rRNA from 1 species